GAAAGGAGAAGGGUCUGUCGUUCUUUCUCUCUAGGAACGCGCUAUUGAGAGUUGAUGCUGUCUCGUCUGAUGCGGUUUGGUACUGACCUUCUCUGGAUCGAUAAUCCGUGGAUCUAGCUGAAGGGACGACUGGACGGUGCAGGUGAAGCAAUUUCCUGCAAGAUGUGGACAUCUAUGCGUGGGUGAAUUUUUCGAAGAAGAAAUACAAAGCUGUCGUUCAAUGUUAUACUCCAAUGUUUCAAAUUAUUUUAAAUUAAAGCACUAAUUUCCUACUUGUGCGGCAUAAAUAUCUUCAGCGAUAAGAUAAUCGUACUCCAUAUCUUCCCCUUCUUUUUCUCCUUUUGCACCUCCACUGAAAAAGAUAAACUCCUCGUCACGUGGUCCGGAAGUAAAUAAAACAGUUCUUCUGUUGAAACAAGACGUUUAUUGCUCGAUCUAUAAAAAAAGAGACGAAAGGGCAAGGUGUGCACCUGUUACAGGCCGUGCAUCGGCACCGAGAGAAAAAUAUACCUCGAUUAAUUAGAAUCUAUUACCAUCGCGACAACAAUUACAAUUAGUUUAACCGGUAUAUCGUAAUGCGUACGACGUAUACACACAAUAAUGCACGUGUAGUUUCCGAAGCUUCCGAUCUUGUUUCUUACCGGGUUGAUCUUCGUUUCUUGUAAAAAACUUUCACCUAAAAAACAUAAAGUUUGUGUUUUCAUUCUCCUUCGUCGACGAUAUUUCAUUCUGCGAAAGGAAGAACAACAGCCAAGUAGAAAUUCGCACGAAAUUGCGUGUAAAUCGAUUGACAUUAUAAUUUACCUUCUUCUCUUCUUUGUUUUUUUUUCAGGAAAGAAUA